AUGAACGCUGGCGGCGUGCUUCACACAUGCAAGUCGAACGGAACUACUCCAAUGAGAGUCUUCGGAAAGGAUUUGGUUUAGUUUAGUGGCGGACGGGUGAGUAACGCGUGGGUAACCUGCCCUAUACAGGGGGAUAACAGUUGGAAACGACUGUUAAUACCGCAUAAGCGCACAGGAGCGCAUGCUCCGGUGUGAAAAACUCCGGUGGUAUAGGAUGGACCCGCGUCUGAUUAGCUGGUUGGCGGGGUAACGGCCCACCAAGGCGACGAUCAGUAGCCGGCCUGAGAGGGUGAACGGCCACAUUGGGACUGAGACACGGCCCAAACUCCUACGGGAGGCAGCAGUGGGGAAUAUUGCACAAUGGGGGAAACCCUGAUGCAGCGACGCCGCGUGAGCGAAGAAGUAUCUCGGUAUGUAAAGCUCUAUCAGCAGGGAAGAAAAUGACGGUACCUGACUAAGAAGCCCCGGCUAACUACGUG
rnacentral:rRNA from 1 species